GACGAACGCUGGCGGCGUGCCUAAUACAUGCAAGUCGAGCGGACGAAUCGAAAGCUUGCUUUUGUUUCGUUAGCGGCGGACGGGUGAGUAACACGUGGGCAACCUGCCUUGUAGACGGGGAUAACACCGAGAAAUCGGUGCUAAUACCGGAUAACACGAAAUGUCGCAUGACGUUUCGUUGAAAGACGGCGCAAGCUGUCGCUACAGGAUGGGCCCGCGCGGCAUUAGCUAGUUGGUGAGGUAACGGCUCACCAAGGCGACGAUGCGUAGCCGACCUGAGAGGGUGAUCGGCCACACUGGAACUGAGACACGGUCCAGACUCCUACGGGAGGCAGCAGUAGGGAAUCUUCCGCAAUGGACGAAAGUCUGACGGAGCAACGCCGCGUGAGCGAAGAAGGCCUUCGGGUCGUAAAGCUCUGUUGUUAGGGAAGAACAAGUAACGCAGUAACUGGCGUUACCGUGACGGUACCUAACGAGAAAGCCACGGCUAACUACGUG
rnacentral:rRNA from 1 species